rnacentral:rRNA from 1 species
AUACGGAGGGUGCAAGCGUUAAUCGGAAUUACUGGGCGUAAAGCGCACGCAGGCGGUUUGUUAAGUCAGAUGUGAAAUCCCCGGGCUCAACCUGGGAACUGCAUCUGAUACUGGCAAGCUUGAGUCUCGUAGAGGGGGGUAGAAUUCCAGGUGUAGCGGUGAAAUGCGUAGAGAUCUGGAGGAAUACCGGAGGCGAAGGCGGCCCCCUGGACGAAGACUGACGCUCAGGUGCGAAAGCGUGGGGAGCAAACAGGAUUAGAUACCCUGGUAGUCCACGCCGUAAACGAUGUCGACUUGGAGGUUGUGCCCUUGAGGCGUGGCUUCCGGAGCUAACGCGUUAAGUCGACCGCCUGGGGAGUACGGCCGCAAGGUUAAAACUCAAAUGAAUUGGCGGGG